rnacentral:tRNA from 1 species
AGGGGUAUAGGUCAAGUGGUAGAGUGCAUGUUUAGCAUACAUAAGAUCCUGGGUUCAAUCCCCAGUACCUCCC